CAAUCCAAUCCUCAUCACCUAUUGUAAAGAGCAGUGCAUCAGAGACCACAGUGACUCAGCAGCACAAUUCUGACAGCUAUGAAAACACCCGUCUGAUAACCGUAACUUUUAGGUAAGGUAAAUAAUAAUUGACACAUUAGUGCCAAAUACACUCUGAAAUAGUGUUGAAUUUAACUACUUUUUCCUGCUAAUUCAUUACAAAUGGACGAGAUGAAGGCAGAUGAUCUGCUGUGGCGACCCCUUAAGCAGCCACAGCUCACCAUGCCAGUGGAAGGGCCCAGGCCUCCAGUCAUCUCCAUGUUGUGGUUUUUCAUCAUAAAGGCCAACAGCUCCCUCCAGUCAUAGCCUUCAGGGAUGGCAAUGGUGGUGACGGAGGGAAGCCUCAAAUCCUGCAGCACGUUUCAUGUAUUAAAAAACAAAAAUCUGAUCCCAGCAGAGCAACACCUCAGGAAAUGCUACACUGCAAUUGGGACUAAACAUGGCAAGAGCAUUUCAUCUUUACAAUUAGUUUCUUGAAUGUCAGAUUUUAGCAGUAGUUUUGUAUGGCAGCAGCUGAUAUUUAUCAUACAGUUUUGUAGUAUGUCUCUCUCACCUUGUCAGGAAUGAAAAGCUUUAAGCCAAGGUCUUCCAAUCCUCUGUACAGAUAGGCUGCCAACUCCUUGUGUUUCUUCCAGGACUCUUCCAGCCCCUAGAGGGAGACAGCGUGUCAGAAAGAUGAGUGGAGAUGCUGACAGGGGCCACUGAGUGUAUAAUUUGUGUGGUUUAUGUAUAAGGUGGUGAAAAGUACCACCACCAAUGUCUGGAAACAAAAUGUCUGUCCUUUACCCUCUCAGCAAGAAUUGACAGACUCUCUCUCAGAGCAAAGAAUCCUGACACAGGACCCGUGUGAUGGUAUCUAAAAGCCAGAAUAUAAUUGAUUUAAUAUUAUCUUUACCAGCAAACACUGGUGUAAUAGGUCAACACAUUGGUUUUACUUACACUCUGGCAGGUUUGCCAUCACAACCCCAGUAGUUGGCUAAAUGUGUCAUGUCAAAGAGGUAGGAUACUGGUUUUGUUUUCCUGUUAAACAUCUUGUGACUAUGAAGGAAAGGCACAAAAAGAUAACACAGCUUUGAUUGUUUGUUCACAAUUCCACAGGUUUGGGACAAAAUGUAGGCCUUGUGUAUGGAGACACACGCAGAGGUACACACAACACUCACCAUGCUCUGUCAUUAAAAGAGAUGGGAGCUGUGCCAGGAGGUGCAUUCAGAGCUUUCUGAGAACCAGUGUACAGGAUGUCAAUAAUAUCUGGAAGCACAUAUUGGAGAGACAUAUUAUAUCACAUGGGAGUGCAAGGUGCAACAGGGAGAUACAGGAUGAGCCUCACUUUUGGCAGAUGUCUCCAGUGCCAUCUAUUGGGUGACAGAGGCCAGCAGAGGAUUCUCCAUGUGUGAGGAAAAACAGGACUGGCUUGUGUUUUACUAUGGCCUGCAAAUAAAACUAAAACAUUUACCUCAUACAUUUCUGCGUGCAAGUGACCAAUUAUCGGCUUGGACCCAGACGCUAAACCCGUGGAGGAACAUUUGAGGGUCCUGGCCCGAACAGGUACCGCAGUGGAACCUCGAGUGGCCGCAGAAUGCACGCCGGCGGUGGGAUGGAGACCGAGGACAUGGAGCGGUCCAUGCGCUGCAGAAUUGGUGCGCUCCGACCCUCGAGGGCCGCUGCAGUUUGCUGGGCGAGCAGCGCACCCCGGCUGAGGAAAGACCGCUGCAUCACUGCUGCUGUGCGGGUUCCUGAGAUGUUUUCACCGUGUGAGAUCACCACCGACAGACGGAGAGACUCAGUCCGACUGUAAGAUUUGGGUGAAGAUUUAAAACAGGCCUUUGACCUGUUGGCCGAGGGGCGGUACAAUAGUACAGUAAACCAGGGCUUCUCCAUCUGUGGCCCCCCUUCAGACCUGGUAGCGACAUCGUUCCUGUGAGAUCUGGUUACAUACAAACGGCACAAAACACUUCACUCCUGGCCUUAAACUAGUCCUGUGUGACUCAUGAGAGAGGGGAUUUUUGCAUCAUAUAUCAUUUGCAUUAUAUGAUUAGAUGUGGGCGCGGAUUAGCUGCGUUCAGACCUGUAUUUGGCACCGUCUGCAUGUGAUCGAAAUUCAGCAUUGAAUUGGGCUGAGUCCGAUGUUCUGACAUGUGAUGAUCAUUUGCAUCGUAAUGUUCAUCUGAAAGAGUGAUGGAAGCUGUUUGUGAUGAAUGAUGAAAGAAUGAAUGCUCAGCGGGCUGGGUCUCUAAAUUCUCCAAGUCAGGUGUCACCUGUUGAAGCAUAGGUGUCUCACUCAGAAGAGCAAUAUCAGGGGAUAUUAACUACUGACACUAAAAGGGUUUAAUCUUUGCAUUUGCAGAUGAGAAGUGUGUUUCCUUAAUCUGACCCAAAAUGCUAUGGUUGAUUAAACCUUUUUUGCACCAAUUUUAGACUAGAUUGAUCAGACAAUGUUGGGUUGUGCUCAUUUCUGACCAAAGAACUUAAGGACAGAGGAAUGGUGUGUAGUGACAGCACAGAUUCUGGUUUGUACUGAUUUCAUUUUAAAUCUGUAAAUAGUCAAAUUUUAUUUUUUCAUGCUGACUAUGACCACUGCAGUAUGAAAAGAGCCGAUGCCACAGCUCUUCAAAAGGAUUGUGUGAUUUGUACAUGAUGGUUGUUGCUUUCAAAGUGUUAAUUUACAAUAAAUUAAAAUAUUCACACAUUUAAA